UAGGGAAUCUUCCACAAUGGACGCAAGUCUGAUGGAGCAACGCCGCGUGAGUGAAGAAGGCUUUCGGGUCGUAAAACUCUGUUAUUGAAGAAGAACGUGUGUGACAGUAACUGGUCAUGCAGUGACGGUAUUCAAUCAGAAAGUCACGGCUAACUACGUGCCAGCAGCCGCGGUAAUACGUAGGUGGCAAGCGUUGUCCGGAUUUAUUGGGCGUAAAGCGAGUGCAGGCGGUCUUUUAAGUCUGAUGUGAAAGCCUUCGGCUUAACCGAAGAAGGGCAUCGGAAACUGGGAGACUUGAGUGCAGAAGAGGAGAGUGGAAUUCCAUGUGUAGCGGUGAAAUGCGUAGAUAUAUGGAAGAACACCAGUGGCGAAGGCGGCUCUCUGGUCUGUAACUGACGCUGAGGCUCGAAAGCGUGGGUAGCAAACAGGAUUAGAUACCCUGGUAGUCCACGCC
rnacentral:rRNA from 1 species